CUCCACCUUAUUAUGCGCACCCCUCCGUGAAAAUAUCAGCGAUCCAAGCAAUAAAAAAAAAUCCCCACCACCUCUCUUUCCUGAUUCACAUCUCUCACCCGUGCUCCAUGUCAACGACAACAAUGAUGCCGCCACCAUCUCCGAUUCCGCGCAGCUUCACUUUCACCGCCCCUCGCCGGCCCAGAUUCCCUUCGCCGGACCAGCUUCCUCUCCUCCGGCGCGACGUCCUUCGCGCCCUUGCACGCGCCCCCACGGCAAUCUUAGGCGCCACGGGUCAUCGGCGCUCCUGCGCCUCCGGUUUGUCGGUCCACUAACCCCGCGUCUUCGAAUGCGCGGCUGCGGGCUCGCGCUCCACGACACUACUCCGCCUCGGCGACCUCUACUCCGACGUCUAUGGUUCAGUAGGCUGCCAUGGUUGCCUACAGCUUACCCGACAACUCACCAAGACUCAUCUCCCCCAAGAAGGUUUACAGAAAAUAUCAAAGAUUCAAAGAUACAAAGCGCCUAGUCCCUCUUGAACCUCUGCGGCUCUGCCUAGCGCAUAUCCCCUGCAUUGUUUCCCUAUUGUCUUGUGCCAUCCCCAGUUCUAGGCGUCCAUCAUCAAUGAUCUCCCCUCACUGGAUAAGAAUUUCGGUUAGUAAUCAACAGUGCAGGGGCAGGGGUGGUGUCUCCUCAAUGGGCCAAAAAAUCGGAGGUUUGAUGGCAGCUCCCUGACGCACAGUGGCAGUGCAGCGACUCUCAGAUGCACAAGGGCGUCGCGGCGACUCCCAGACGUACAGUGGUUGUGCGGCCACCCCAGAUGCACAAUGGCGGCGCGGCGACUCCCAGAUGCACAGCAGCAGAACGGCGGCUCUAUAGUGAUGAAUCUCGGGUUAUAGAAACUGGAUUGUUCCAGGCAGUGGCGACGCUACAUAAUGACUGCAAUGUCAAAUGACCACACAAGAUUGCUAACAUAAGUUGAUGAUGCAUAGCUCAGAUGUUGAUUGCAAGGUCAGAUGUUGGUAGCAAGGUCAAGAAUGGGGCUGCUACUAGAUAGUCUUACCUUAUGUUUUAGGAUGUCAUUUCCAAUGUCCAUGUUUUAGGCGUUGAUUGAAACGUCCAUAACUUGGCUACUAGUAUCACAUCUUGUAAUCUUUGGAUCCUGUUCUAGUAUCACAUCUUGUAUACUUUGAACCAUGCUCUUUGUAAUACAACAUAGUAAAUUUAAUAUAUGAGACCAAUCCCUUUUU